GACGUAGGGCGCGAGCGUUGUCCGGAUUUAUUGGGCGUAAAGAGCUCGUAGGCGGCUGGUCGCGUCGACUGUGAAAACCCGCAGCUCAACUGUGUGGUCUGCAGUCGAUACGGGCUGGCUGGAGUUCGGUAGGGGAGACUGGAAUUCCUGGUGUAGCGGUGAAAUGCGCAGAUAUCAGGAGGAACACCGGUGGCGAAGGCGG
rnacentral:rRNA from 1 species